AAGGGCUUAGCUUAAUUAAAGUAAUUGAUUUGCAUUCAUUUGAUGUGGAGUAGAAUCUGCAGUCCUUA
rnacentral:tRNA from 1 species